AGCGAACGCUGGCGGCAUGCCUAACACAUGCAAGUCGAACGAGACCUUCGGGUCUAGUGGCGCACGGGUGCGUAACGCGUGGGAACCUGCCCUUAGGUUCGGAAUAACUCCCGAAAGGGGUGCUAAUACCGGAUAAUGUCUUCGGACCAAAGAUUUAUCGCCUUUGGAUGGGCCCGCGUUGGAUUAGCUAGUUGGUAGGGUAAAAGCCUACCAAGGCGACGAUCCAUAGCUGGUCUGAGAGGAUGAUCAGCCACACUGGGACUGAGACACGGCCCAGACUCCUACGGGAGGCAGCAGUGGGGAAUAUUGGACAAUGGGCGAAAGCCUGAUCCAGCAAUGCCGCGUGAGUGAUGAAGGCCUUAGGGUUGUAAAGCUCUUUUACCCGGGAUGAUAAUGACAGUACCGGGAGAAUAAGCGCCGGCUAACUCCGUG
rnacentral:rRNA from 1 species